rnacentral:lncRNA from 1 species
CCACACAGUUACAUGUCUUUGUUUGGGUGCUAGCGUUGACCAAUCAGAGAGGCUGUAGACUGUAGUAGGUGUUUUACUGUCUGCAGGGCUUCUUGUGUCUAUGGAGGAGAGGAGAGUGAAAUAAAACAGGUAAUUUAACACAUUUUUGGGUGCCAAUGCUAAGUCUAUCUGCACGUGAGGGACUGUCACUAAACCGGCCUUGUUCUCAUUUAGACGGACGUGUCUGAUUGAAAUCUGUAGUGAAUCCUUUCAGGCUGGCGUGAUUGGCUCAUAGCACAGAUUCCAGCCUCAUACACACCAAUAUGUUUCUGUGCUUCUAUGAAGGCAAAACCCGUGACAGAUUUUUAUUUCUGUACAAAGCCUGUUAUAGAUUUUAUUCCAUACGUCCUGUAAAUUAGUGUUUCAUGGUUCAUUACUUCAGUUUACAGCAGAAAUGUUGUUGUUUGGCGUUCAUAUGUACUGUAGACCGAGGCUUGAUGGAUGGGAUUAGGAUGUACUGUAGACCGUGACUGGAUGGAUGGGAUUAGGAUGUACUGUAGUCCGAGGCUGGAUGGAUGGGAUUAGGAUGUACUGUAGACCGUGACUGGAUGGAUGGGAUUAGGAUGUACUGUAGACCGAGGCUGGAUGGAUGGAUGGGAUUAGGAUGUAAUGUAGACCGAGGCUGGAUGGAUGGGGUUAGGAUGUACUGUAGAACGAGGCUGGAUGGAUGGAUGGGAUUAGGAUGUACUGUAGACCGAGGCUGGAUGGAUGGAUGGAUGGGAUUAGGAUGUACUGUAGACCGAGGCUGGAUGGAUGGGGUUAGGAUGUACUGUAGACCGAGGCUGGAUGGAUGGGAUUAGGAUGUACUGUAGACCGUGACUGGAUGGAUGGAUGGGAUUAGGAUGUACUGUAGACCGAGGCUGGAUGGAUGGAUGGGAUUAGGAUGUACUGUAGACCGAGGCUGGAUGGAUGGAUGGGAUUAGGAUGUACUGUAGACCGAGGCUGGAUGGAUGGAUGGGGUUAGGAUGUACUGUAGCCCGAGGCUGGAUGGAUGGGAUUAGGAUGUACUGUAGACCGAGGCUGGAUGGAUGGGAUUAGGAUGUACUGUAGACCCGUGACUGGAUGGAUGGAUGGGAUUAGGAUGUACUGUAGACCGAGGCUGGAUGGAUGGAUGGAUGGGAUUAGGAUGUACUGUAGACCGAGGCUGGAUGGAUGGAUGGGAUUAGGAUGUACUGUAGACCGUGACUGGAUGGAUGGAUGGGAUUAGGAUGUACUGUAGACCGAGGCUGGAUGGAUGGGAUUAGGAUGUAUUGUAGACCGUGACUGGAUGGAUGGAUGGGAUUAGGAUGUACUGUAGACCGAGGCUGGAUGGAUGGAUGGGAUUAGGAUGUACUGUAGACCGAGGCUGGAUGGAUGGAUGGGAUUAGGAUGUACUGUAGACCGUGACUGGAUGGAUGGAUGGGAUUAGGAUGUACUGUAGACCGAGGCUGGAUGGAUGGGAUUACGAUGUACUGUAGACCGAGGCUGGGUGUUUAUACUUGGGGUGAAUUUGAAUGUUGUUUACAUCAUAAAAUGAUUACUUGUCUUCUUUGUUAGUUUUUUUUAUACAUAAACUAAGGAGGUAUUUUGACCUCAGUGGGACAUCCUGGUUCAAAAAGGUCGAGAUCAUCUCCAACUCUGAAACAUUUUUCGUUUUUCGAAGUUCAUCCUCAGAAUCAGAGGUUACUGUUAAAAAUGACAGACUAUAGUCAAUAAACAAAUUAGUCAUGUAUUCAUUUGGCCAGGUGUUGACAGCAUGGUUCCAAAGUGCAGAGGUUACCG